GAUUAUGUAGUUUAAAAAAUAAAAUAUAAUUUUGUGGUAAUUAAGAUAUAAGUUUUUAAUAAUCA
rnacentral:tRNA from 1 species